GGGUGAGUAACACGUAGGGAACCUGCCCGCGCACCGGGAAUACGCUCUGGAAACGGAGAACAAAUCCCGAUGUACAGGAAGGAGGCAUCUUCUUUCUGUGGAACAUCCUUUAGGGGAUGGGGCGCGGAUGGACCUGCGGUGCAUUAGUUGGUUGGCGGGGUAAAGGCCCACCAAGACGAUGAUGCAUAGCCGGCCUGAGAGGGCGGACGGCCACAUUGGGACUGAGACACGGCCCAGACUCCUGCGGGAGGCAGCAGUAGGGAAUUUUCGUCAAUGGGCGCAAGCCUGAACGAGCGAUGCCGCGUGAGUGAAGAAGGCCUUCGGGUCGUAAAGCUCUGUUGCGGGGGAAAAAAGGCAGCAUCAGGAAAUGGGUGCUGACUGAUGGUGCCCCGCCAGAAAGUCACGGCUAACUACGUGCCAGCAGCCGCGGUAAUACGUAGGUGGCGAGCGUUAUCCGGAAUGAUUGGGCGUAAAGGGUGCGCAGGCGGUCCUGCAAGUCUGGAGUGAAACGCAUGAGCUCAACUCAUGCAUGGCUUUGGAAACUGGAGGACUGGAGAGCAGGAGAGGGCGGUGGAACUCCAUGUGUAGCGGUAAAAUGCGUAGAUAUAUGGAAGAACACCAGUGGCGAAGGCGGCCGCCUGGCCUGUUGCUGACGCUGAGGCACGAAAGCGUGGGGAGCAAAUAGGAUUAGAUACCCUAGUAGUCCACGCCGUAAACGAUG
rnacentral:rRNA from 1 species